GACGAACGCUGGCGGCGCGCUUAACACAUGCAAGUCGAACGGAAAGGCCUGCUUUCCCUUGUGGAUUGCGGGUACUCGAGUGGCGAACGGGUGAGUAACACGUGAGUGAUCUGCCCCCAACUUGGGUAUAAGCCUGGGAAACUGGGUCUAAUUCCCGAUAGGACUGCAGGGUGGUGCCUGUGGUGGAAAACGAUUUUCUAGUGGUUGGGGAUGAGCCCGCGGCCUAUCAGCUUGUUGGUGGGGUAAUGGCCUACCAAGGCGGCGACGGGUAGCCGGCCUGGGAGGGUGGACGGCGACAGUGGGACUGGGAUACGGCCCAGACGCCUGCGGGAGGCAGGGGUGGGGAAGAUUGCAGAAUGGGCGGAAGCCUGAUGCAGCGACGCCGCGUGGGGGAUGACGGCCUUCGGGUUGUAAACUCCUUGCGACCGCGAGGAAGCCACCUGGUUGGAAGGGUGGUGACGGUAGUGGUAGAAGAAGCACCGGCUAACUACGUG
rnacentral:rRNA from 1 species